rnacentral:rRNA from 1 species
UGGGGAAUUUUGCGCAAUGGGCGAAAGCCUGACGCAGCGACGCCGCGUGAGGGAAGAAGGUCCUCGGAUCGUAAACCUCUGUCGGAGGGGAAGAAACUGCAGGGUGCUAAUACCACCUUGCAUUGACGGUACCCUUUGAGGAAGCAUCGGCUAACUACGUGCCAGCAGCCGCGGUAAUACGUAGGAUGCAAGCGUUGUUCGGAAUUAUUGGGUGUAAAGGGCGCGUAGGCGGCUUGGCCAGUCACGGGUGAAAGCCCCCGGCUUAACCGGGGAAUUGCCCGUGAUACUACCAAGCUCGAGUACGGGAGAGGGAAGUGGAAUUCCUGGUGUAGCGGUGAAAUGCGUAGAUAUCAGGAGGAACACCGGUGGCGAAGGCGGCUUCCUGGACCGAUACUGACGCUGAGGCGCGAAAGCGUGGGUAGCAAACAGG